rnacentral:rRNA from 1 species
AAUAGAUACCCAGGUAGUCCAUGCCGUAAACGAUGUCUACUAGCCGUUGGGGCCUUUGAGGCUUUAGUGGCGCAGCUAACGCGAUAAGUAGACCGCCUGGGGAGUACGGUCGCAAGACUAAAACUCAAAUGAAUUGACGGGGGCCCGCACAAGCGGUGGAGCAUGUGGUUUAAUUCGAUGCAACGCGAAGAACCUUACCUGGCCUUGACAUACUAAGAACUUUCUAGAGAUAGAUUGGUGCCUUCGGGAACUUAGAUACAGGUGCUGCAUGGCUGUCGUCAGCUCGUGUCGUGAGAUGUUGGGUUAAGUCCCGCAACGAGCGCAACCCUUUUCCUUAUUUGCCAGCGGGUUAAGCCGGGAACUUUAAGGAUACUGCCAGUGACAAACUGGAGGAAGGCGGGGACGACGUCAAGUCAUCAUGGCCCUUACGGCCAGGGCUACACACGUGCUACAAUGGUCGGUACAAAGGGUUGCUACCUAGCGAUAGGAUGCUAAUCUCAAAAAGCCGAUCGUAGUCCGGAUUGGAGUCUGCAACUCGACU